rnacentral:rRNA from 1 species
AGUGAACGCUGGCGGUAGGCCUAACACAUGCAAGUCGAACGGCAGCACAGCAGUAGCAAUACUGUGGGUGGCGAGUGGCGGACGGGUGAGGAAUACAUCGGAAUCUACCUUUUCGUGGGGGAUAACGUAGGGAAACUUACGCUAAUACCGCAUACGAUCUAAGGAUGAAAGUGGGGGAUCGCAAGACCUCAUGCUCCUGG